CUUUUUUAAGGAGAAUUAAAAGUUUCGUGGGGACAGCGGAAGGGAUCAUUACCGAGUUUACAACUCCCAAACCCCUGUGAACCUUACCUAUUGUUGCCUCGGCGGCUGCUCUCGAGCAGUCGCCAGAGGACUUUAACUCUUUUGAUUUUUCCAUGUGGUAUCUUCUGAGUGACACAAGCAAAAAAUAAAAUAAAAACUUUCAACAACGGAUCUCUUGGUUCUGGCAUCGAUGAAGAACGCAGCGAAAUGCGAUAAGUAAUGUGAAUUGCAGAAUUCAGUGAAUCAUCGAAUCUUUGAACGCACAUUGCGCCCGCCAGUAUUCUGGCGGGCAUGCCUGUUCGAGCGUCAUUUCAACCCUCAGGCUGCCCCAAAAGCGGCUUGGUGUUGGGGAUCGGCCCGCCCAUGGCGGCGCGCCGGCCCUGAAUUCUAGUGGCGGUCUCGCUGUAGCCUUCCUCUGCGUAGUAGCACACCUCGCACUGGAACGCGGCGCGGCCACGCCGUUAAACCCCCCACUUCUGAAAGGUUGACCUCGGAUCAGGUAGGAAUACCCGCUGAACUUAAGCAUAUCAAUAAGCGGAGGAAAAGAAACCAACAGGGAUUGCCCUAGUAACGGCGAGUGAAGCGGCAACAGCUCAAAUUUGAAAUCUGGCCCUCGGGUCCGAGUUGUAAUUUGUAGAGGAUGCUUUUGGUGCGGUGCCUUCCGAGUUCCCUGGAACGGGACGCCAUAGAGGGUGAGAGCCCCGUCUGGUUGGAUGCCAAUCCUCUGUAAAGCUCCUUCGACGAGUCGAGUAGUUUGGGAAUGCUGCUCUAAAUGGGAGGUAUAUGUCUUCUAAAGCUAAAUACCGGCCAGAGACCGGAUAGCGCACAAGUAGAGUGAUCGAAAGAUGAAAAGCACUUUGAAAAGAGAGUUAAAAAGUACGUGAAAUUGUUGAAAGGGAAGCGCUUGUGAACCAGACUUGGGCUUGGUUAAUCAUCCAGCGUUCUCGCUGGUGCACUUUUUCCAGCUCAGGCCAGCAUCAGUUUAUCCGCGGGGGAUAAAGGCUUCGGGAAUGUGGCUCCUACCGGGAGUGUUAUAGCCCGUUGUGCAAUACCCUGCAGUAGACUGAGGUUCGCGCUCCGCAGGAUGCUGGCGAUCGGGCUCCCAACGCCUUUGAAAAAACGAAAAAAA
rnacentral:rRNA from 1 species